GGAUAUGAGGGUGAUCUGGCUGUGAUAUCUGUCACCUCAUUGAUGGCCAGGGUUGAGUCAGCUGAUCUGGCUGGAGAGGCAAGUGUUCUUUUCCUCCCUUAAGGCUCCAUGUGAGUCCUCCUGAAGUUGUGAACCUAAACAGGAAGACCUUCCUCGAAUUGAGGGGCUACUCUGUGAUCCAGAGUAUAUGAGUAGCUGUGCUCCCCUUCUAGAACCUCCAAACAAGUUCUCAAGAAACAAUAGUAACCUUAAACAUAUAUACUCUCGCCAAGUGCAAGGACCAGU
ensembl:misc_RNA 7SK 7SK RNA